UACAGAGGGGGCAAGCGUUGUUCGGAAUUACUGGGCGUAAAGGGCGCGUAGGCGGCCCGCUAAGUCGAACGUGAAAUCCCUGGGCUCAACCCAGGAACUGCGUCCGAUACUGGCAGGCUUGAAUCCGGGAGAGGGAUGUGGAAGUUCCUAGGUGUAGCGGUGAAAUGCGUAGAUAUCUGGAGGAACACCGGUGGCGAAGGCGGCAUCCUGGACCGGUAUUGACGCUGAUGCGCGAAAGCCAGGGGAGCAAACGGG
rnacentral:rRNA from 1 species